AAAUCGGCAUCACUUGAGUUCAAGUGCGGGUUUAAAAUUUUAAGUGCUCCUCUUUAAAAAAUGAGCCGCGCAAAAUUUGUCUCAAAAUACAUACUGCCUCAUCUUUCUCUCUCUCCGAUACUUUUCCCCCUUCCUCUUCACCUUCAUUUUCUCUCUCCUCUGUCGUCGCUGUCGCCGUCGCUUCCUCACCGCCGGAGAUUAUCACCGAACAUUUGUGUCGCUGCGUAGUUAAUUAUUGUUGUUGUGGGGUUGAUUGUUGAUGUAGCUCCACUCUCCAUCUUCACUUGUCUCUGCGCUCUCUCUUGUCUCCAGUUUGUACCUCCACCGCUAACGGUGGUCGUGAAUCGACCAUCAACUAUAUUCCAUUAUCAAUUGAUGUGUUGUGCUGGUGGUGAUUCCCCCCUUGUACGUUGUGGUUAUUAGUUGUCUUGAAUUUUUUGCUCUUCUCACAUAUCUCCUGCUUCCCUCCUCUGCCUCUCCUCUCUGCCGCUAGACUCACCGGAGCUCGACCUCCGUGGCUCUGCCGGAGCUGUUGCUGCUCCUCUCAUUGGUGUUGUUAUUGUUGAUUUUGUUCUUAUUGAUCUCUCCUCCGCCAACCUAUUUCUCUAAUGGUAUAUACACAGUUACCAAAGCUACCCGUGGAAUCAUGCUGCAAGUGUUAGAUUACAGAAGUAUGUGGCCUUGCUUCGUGAUCACGAAGGUUGUUCUGUUACAUCUGCUACCAGUUGUUACGAGGUAUUCCUUUGAUCUGCUAUCAGCUUUACUCCUUGUCAAUGCUUGCUGCAAAUAGUAACAUACACCACCAAUCUGCCCUCCGUGCCAAAAGGCUUGUUAAUGUUUGGGCUCCUUGAUAACAAACCUAGGUUGAUUAUCACACUUGGUCAUCAAAUUUAGUCCUUGAUUUUGAUGGUUAAGUUUUGGUUGGUGAGGAAAUUCUAAGUACAUUUAUGUUUAUUUAAAGAGAAUUGGUCAUUAAUACUUCUUUGUAUGUCAUUUAAUUUAUAAAGUUGUGCAAUUUAUGGAAAAGAUAGUGGGAAUUAAGCAUGUUUUGUGUACGAUAGGAAUUUGAAGUUGUGAGUUGUCUAAUUAAUAAUAUGUUUUUACUACUUUUGUCCCUUUGAGGACCUUAGGAAUUUAAUCUUUAUGAAAUGUGAUCCCAUUUUUCAAGGUAAUGUGAGUGCAAUUAGUGAUAUGGUAAUUGCAUCUGGAAUUUGUUCCUUUUUUGUAAGAUACAUUCUUACAUAGCCCUAAAGUAUCUUUAUCAACAAUAGAAAUAAUUUCAUCUAUUGAAUAUUUGAGUAGUUAUAGUUGUCAGAGUCAAUCAACUAUAAAUGAUAUACUACAACCUGAUCAUGGCUCAUCAAUGCCACUACUCCCCAUGAAAUCAGACCACUCAGUAUUGCUAUUGUUGACGAUGUUGUUAACAUCGUCGUUGUUGUUGUUGACUCUGUUGUUAACAUCGUCGUUGUUGAUUGGUUCCGACAGAGAAGGCAGGGCUGAAGGAAAUAUGUCCUUCACCCAAGGUGCAUUAAGUCUAAUACCAAGGUUCAGAUUAAUUGCGAACAAUUAAUUCAGUGAGAUCAAGUGAUCGGAACAGCUAGCUGGAGCAAUGCUUCCGAUCAGUGAGUUCUAAUGGAUAUUGAACUCACAGCUUACUCUUGACUGAACCUACAAGCUCACACCAAUGACACGUAACAGAUCACCGGAUUAAAUGAAUUGGAAAUUCAUUUAAUAGCUUUUCGGGAAUUAGUUGGAAAACGUAUUAUACGAUACGACCUUGCAUCGGAAUCGUAUAUCGUAUCGCGAAUAUUAGUAAGCUAGGCGAAACGAAUAAAUCGUAUCGUACGACGGUGAUUCGUCGUAUACGAAACGAUAAAUAAUAUAUCGGAAAUAUAUUUAAUCGCGGAUACGAAGAGCGGCCCACGAGCCGAGUGCACGAAGCACUUGAGGCCCAUGGGCGCGCGCUGGGCAAGCAAGCAAGGCCACGGAAACACGGCAGCGCUGGCCCAUGGCUGCGCGUGUGCGCGCGGGCCGAAGCAGCGACACAGCCACAGCAGCGAGGCCCAUGGCCCAGCUCGCUGUGCUUGUCUCACGCGGGGCUUGCUGGCCGGCCUUGCCUUAAGGCUUGGUCGGUUAGUAAGGUUAUGUUAAUAACCUUCUAACCUCUUUUCAAACAUAACACAAUUCAUACACACAACCCUAGGAGAAAAUAGAGAACCCUAAUUCUCUCUAUGCCUCCACAGUGUGUUCAUCCCAAAAGCACAAACUCUUGAUCAAUUGUCUAAGCUACGAUAAUCAAGACGGAUCCGAUCGUGUCGGUGAACCAAGUAGAGGAACGACAACUGGAGUUCUAAGUUCGUGUUCGUUGACAGAUUAUUGUGGAAAACACGCUUCGAAUGUAAGUUUGCUUAAUCUGUGCUUUAUACAUGUUUCCUGGCUUUGGGGAUUGUUUUCGCACAUGUUAUUAUGUUUAACUGUAUUCCCCUACAAGGGCAGGCACACCUCCUGUUUCGGUGCCAAUGUGCCAUUCUCCGGUUAUUGACGACGGAGCAGCAGUCUGAAACAGUAGUCCGUCUACCGGGUUGGACCGUGUAUUCGGAAUAAUAGGCAGCACAGCAAACAGAUGAGGAGGCUCUGUGGCCUGCUGCAGCCUGCUGCAUCUGUUGUGGUUGCUGACUAGGGGACGAGGAGGCUAUGUGGCCUGCUGCAUCUGUUGUGGCUGCUGACUAGGGGACGCUAUGUCUACCUUGGCGUGUUUGUUCUUACGGAAUCCUCCACCUAGAAUAUUCGAAAAUAUUCAAUGGAUAGGUAUUCAACAAUCCGAGGGAGCAGCCUUUUACCAUUGAGUAGAUAAAUGAAGUUCGAGAAAAGUUGGCAAAGUUCAUUACCAUUUAUUGUCUUUGAUAUUUUCUUGUAGUGAAUCUUAGAUUAUGGAUGCUAGUUUUUCAUAGGAUUGUAAUUUAAUCAAUUUUUAUAUUUAUAAUUAUAUACUAUUCAAUUUAAUCUA